CCCUCUCCCGUCUCCCUCUCCCUCUCCCUCUCCCGUCUCCCUCUCCCUCUCCUUUCCACGGUCUCCCUCUCAUGCCGGGCCAAAGCUGGACUGUACUGCUGCCAUCUCGGCUCGCUGCAGCCUCCCUGCCUGAUUCUCCUGCCUCAGCCUGCCGAGUGCCUGCGAUUGCAGGCGCGCGCCGCCACGCCUGACUGGUUUUCGUGUUUUUUUGGUGGGGACGGGGUUUCGCUGUGUUGGCCGGACUGGUCUCCAGCUCCUAGCCGCGAGUGAUCCGCCAGCCUCGGCCUCCCGAGGUGCCGGGAUUGCAGACGGAGUCUCAUUCACUCAGUGCUCAAUGGUGCCCAGGCUGGAGUGCAGUGGCGUGAUCUCGGCUCGCUACGGCCUCCACCUCCCAGCCGCCUGCCUUGGCCCCCCAAAGUGCGGAGAUUGCAGCCUCUGCCCGGCCGCCACCCCGUCUGGGAAGUGAGGAGCGUCUCUGCCUGGCUGCCCAUCGUCUGGGAUGUGAGGAGCCCCUCUGCCUGGCUGCCCAGUCUGGAAAGUGAGGACAGUCUCUGCCCGGCCGCCAUCCCAUCUAGGAAGUGAGGAGCGUCUCUGCCCGGCAGCCCAUCGUCUGAGAUGUGGGGAGCGCCUCUGCCCCGCCGCCCCAUCUGGGAUGUGAGGAGCGCCUCGUCCCGGCCGCGACCCCGUCUGGGAGCCUCCCAGCGCCCAGGACCCCUGCCUGAGCAGUGAGAGGCCCUGAUUGAUGCCCAGGACAGCAAGCUUUCCCACCAGCACCAACCUCACCAUUUUCUUUCAGUAUUUGAGGACUGAAAAGAAGGCUUCAUAAUGAUGGGUACCAUUUCUGGAGCAGCUCACUAAGGUCCCUGUUCUAGAAUUUUACUCAUCCUCUUCCUCAUUUGACAGAUUUGGAACCUGGGCCUCAGACGGCUAUGACCUGCCCAAGACCUCACAAGUAGUGAGGUGGGCAGGGCAGCCGGAACUCAGGUGUCAGUGAGGGAAUACUGAUGUUCUUUCCAUGUGAAAUGCUGCCUCCCAUCAGGAUGACUUACAUUUUAGGGGUUUCAUGUGGUGGGAUCAUUUUUGACUUUAGUCUCUUGUAUUCCGCUUUUCCCUAGGUCCUACGGCACUGUCUGGUGCAUUGGACUGAGAAUCAGGAGACAAAGCUUGUGGCCCGGCCGGUCAUACUCUGAGUUGCUGCAAGUCAUGGUCUCUUUUUGUCCUUCACCUGCUGAGUGACGAGUUGGGCUGGAUGGCUUCUGUAGGAAACUCCCCACAGACUGACACAUCUGAUCCUACAAGUGUCCAUCCACAUAGCAGGGUCCCUGACACUUACCAAAGAGUGAAGCACAGUGCCAGGGACACGGUGGCCUCACUCAUUCUCACAGUAGGUGGGCAGAUGGGUUCUUCUCUCCCACCUUGCAGGGAAAUAAAAUGAAAAUGAAAGCUCACAGAGGUCAGGUGAUAGUCAACCUGCCCAAGGUCACACAGCUAGAAAAUGGCAACUGUGUUGGGUUUCAGGAGGGGUAUGAAGGAUGGGAGUGUUUGGAGGUUGGGGGCAGCCCAGCUGCUGAGACAUCCAGACAGGGCCAUGGGAGUGGAGAGCAGGGGUAAUAUGGUUUGGCUGUGUCUCCACCCAAAUCUCAGUUUGAAUUGUAUCUCCCAGAAUUCCCACCUGUUGUGGGAGGGACUCAGGGGGAGGUAAUUGAAUCAUGGGGGCCGGUCUUUCCUGUGCUAUUUUCAUGACAGUGAAUAAGCCUCACGAGAUCUGAUGAGUUUAUCAGGGGGUUUUUGCUUUUACUUCUUCAUUUUUCUCUUGCUGCCGCCACGUUAGAAGCGCCUUUUGCCUCCCACCAUGAUUCUGAGGCCUCCCCAGACAUGUGGAACUGUAAGUCCAAUUAAACCUCUUCUUGUUCCCAGUUUUGGAUAUGUCUUUAUCAACAGCAUGAAAACGGACUAAUAUAGUAAAUUAGUACAAGCAGAAUAGGGCAUUGCUGAAAAGAUACCUGAAAAUGUGGAAGCAGCUUUGGAACUAUGUAACAGGAAGAGAUUGGAACAGUUUGAAGAGCUCAGAAGAAGAUAGGAAAAUGUGGGAAAGUUUGGAACCUCAUGGAGACUUGUUGAAUGGCUUUGACAAAAAUGCUGAUAGUGAUAUGAUCAAUAAGGUCCAGGCUGAGGUGGUCUCCAGUGGAGAUGAGGAAAUAUUGGGAACUGGAGCAAAGGUGACUGUUGUUAUGUUUUGGCAAAGACACUGGAAUCAUAUUGCCCCUGCCCUAGAGAUUUGUGGAAAUUUGAACUUGAGAGAGAU
rnacentral:lncRNA from 1 species